ACCUGGCUGGCUCGGUUGGUAGAGCUUGUGACUCUUGAUCUUGGGGUUGUGAGUUUGAGCCCCAUGUUGGGUA
rnacentral:tRNA from 1 species